AAUCAAUAACAUAAUAUUAAGAUGGAGGGUAGGAUUAGAUUCUUUCCUUGUACUCCCCUUGUUUACAAGAUUUUUAUAUAUAUUUGGAAUGUCUUUUUAUGGUCCUCAGAAGUCAGCAUUCAAAGUUCAAGGUGAAAGGCUUGGGUCAAAAAGGCGGGAGACUGGUUGUUCUUGUUUGACCCGUGAUCUUUUCCGGGCUCAAGACCACAUGCUGGA
rnacentral:lncRNA from 1 species